AGUGAACGCUGGCGGCAUGCCUAAUACAUGCAAGUCGAACGGCCACACAGUAAGAUCUUGCCCCUACGGGUGGCGAGUGGCGGACGGGUGAGGCAUAGAUCGGAUACUUCUUUUUCUUGGGGGAUUACGUAGGGCCACUUACGCUACUACCGCAUAUGUCCUACGGGUGAAUGCAGUAGAUCUUCGGACCUUUCGUGUUUGAUUUAGCUGAUGCCGCAUUAGCUAGUUGGCAUGGUAAGGGCACACCAAGGCGACGAUCCGUAGCGGGUCUGAGAGGAUGAUCAGCCACACUGGAACUGAGACACGGUCCAGACUCCUACGGGAGGCAGCAGUGGGGAAUAUUGGACAAUGGGCGAAAGCUUGACGGAGCAACGCCGCGUGGGUGAAGAAGGUCUUCGGGUCGUAAAGCUCUGUUGUUGGGGAAGAAAAGCAGCAUAUGUAUCCAUGGAUGUCCUGACGGUACCUAAACAGAAAGCACCGGCUAACUUCGUG
rnacentral:rRNA from 1 species